rnacentral:rRNA from 1 species
AUUGAACGCUGGCGGCAGGCCUAACACAUGCAAGUCGAACGCGUGGCGGACGGGUGAGUCAUGUCUGGGAAACUGCUCGAUGGCGGGGGAUAACUCCUGGAAACGGUAGCUAAUACCGCAUACCAUCGGAUGUGCCCUGAUGGGAUUAGCUAGUAGGUGGGGUAAUGGCUCACCUAGGCGACGAUCCCUAGUUGGUCUGAGAGGUGGACCAGCCACACUGGAACUGAUACACGGUCCAGACUCCGACGGGAGGCAGCAGUGGGGAAUAUUGCGCAAUGGGCGCAAGCCUGAUGCAGCCAUGCCGCGUGUAUGAAGAAGGCCUUCGGGUUGUAAAGUACUUUCAGCAAGGAGGCGUUACUCGCAGAGGAAGCACCGGCUAACUCCGUGCCAGCAGCCGCGGUAAUAC